CUUAUGAUCGGGUUACUUGUUACGACUUCGUCCCAAUCGCUGGUCCCACCUUCGACGGCUCCAUCCCANAGGGUUAGGCCACCGGCUUCGGGUGUUACCGACUUUCGUGACGUGACGGGCGGUGUGUACAAGGCCCGGGAACGUAUUCACCGCAGCAUGCUGAUCUGCGAUUACUAGCAACUCCAACUUCAUGGGGUCGAGUUGCAGACCCCAAUCCGAACUGAGGCCGGCUUUUUGGGAUUCGCUCCGCCUCACGGCAUCGCAGCCCUUUGUACCGACCAUUGUAGCACGUGUGCAGCCCAAGACAUAAGGGGCAUGAUGAUUUGACGUCGUCCCCACCUUCCUCCGAGUUGACCCCGGCAGUCUCCUGUGAGUCCCCGACAUUACUCGCUGGCAACACANAACAAGGGUUGCGCUCGUUGCGGGACUUAACCCAACAUCUCACGACACGAGCUGAC
rnacentral:rRNA from 1 species